UGAAGGAGGCAGGAAGCUUGUUUGCAUUGGGCAGUAGCAAACGAAUUCCCACCCUUAACUUCACAGACAGGGGUGGGGGUGGGGUGUCACACAGAGGCCAGGUAGGCAGGUCCAGGCAUUUGACAAAUCAGCAGCAGUGGGCCAGGAGGGGAUAAGGGCAUCUUGAGUCUUGAGUGCUCUGUAGUUGGAGGGUCUUUGUGGGGGCAGAUGACCUCUCCUGGGAAACCCCAGGGUCCUUCAUCACGCAUCUGGAAGCAGUUCCCAAAGACGAGUGCCACUGGGGUCAGAUAAGUCUGCAGAGAAAAUGCUGGGCUCUGGAGGCCCAGAGUCCAGCGGUGGACCGCCACUCAAGGCCUCCAGCCAGUCCAAGGAAUCUGAUGUCAUCGAUGUCCCGAUUCGGAAGCAGCUGUGGAUGAGCACACGCUCUGUGACCCUGGUUCCUGCUUAGGUACACAGCCCAGUCCCCGAGCACGCCCCAGCCUCGCAUCCCCUUCCACCUGCGCCCUGUGGAUCGCUUCCUGCAGCUCCUCCUCCAGAGUCAGGCUGGCUGGAGAUGUUGGAAAGGGAGUUGGAAGAGCUGGAGCCGAAGCUGAAGCGGGAGCGGGGGCCUGAACCGGCGUGGGAGCCGGAGCCGGAGACGGAGCCGGAGCUGCCCCCAGAGGAUCCGCAGCUCCAGAAAAUUGCAGCCUACGAGUCGUUGCACUCGUCUUUACCUAGAACCAGAAAAGGUGGGAGUUUCCUAAGUCUGGCACAUCGGGCGUGGCUCUGCCCCCGGCCCUAACACAGUCUUUAGUUUCACCCCAAUACUUUGUAUUUUUUUAACAUUUUUAUGUGUGUGUGCAUGUAUGUGUACAAUCAGCGGGCAACUUUCAGAGCUGGUUCAUGGCUCCCACCUUAUGGGUCUCGGGGAUAGAAUUCAAGAAGUCAAGCUAGGCAGCAAACACUCUUAUUCCCUGAAGCAACUUUCAGGCUCCGCUCCUAUCCUUUCAUUGGCUUCUCUCCGUUAAACCACGCCCACCAUGCUCUAACUACGUCCUCCGGGCAACCAGUGGUUGGUCACGCUCAAUUGAGCUUAGCGGCUCAAUUGUUAGGCUCCGUCCCCAGCAGCACACCCGCUUGGGGGCAGAGGCAGGUGGAUCUCUGUGAGUUCGAGGCCAUCCUGGUCUACAGAGUGAGUUCCAGGACAGCCGGGGCUACAUAGAGAAACCCUGUCUAGAAAAGUGACAACCAUCAAGAGACCCGCCCCCAGGAGUAAGUCACGCCUCCUUGCCAACACGUCAUUGGCUGCUCUUUUCCAAGGUCUCGCCCUAUUCCUCUUUCUCUUCUCUUGAUUGGUGCGUGCACAGCCCCGCCCUCACCGUGCCGGGCCGCCUGGUAUGUCCCAGAGCUUUAGGCCUAAGGCGCGGCCAGGGAGCCGCAGCCUCUUUGUCCUCACGCCGGGGCUUCUGCCGUUCUCUGGGCGGGGCGCCACCGCGCAUGCGCUCCAGCAGCAUCGACUUGGUCCCGGAGACUGGGAGUCCCCGUAGGCGCAGCUGCUGCCGAAGCUCUGAGACCUAAGGGGCGGGAACAGGGAGAGGAGGUGCUGGGCGAGCUCUGGGGUACAAUUACUAGGAAACUAGAGGAGCCAGAAUCUUGACCGACUGCCCUAGGGCACGGGCCAUGGGUCUGUGAGGUCUGGGUCCAGCCCUGAAGAAGAGAUGACACUGGGACCCUGGGACGCUGCAUACUAAACCCACCGUCAGCUCUUCCAAUUUAAGGGUCUGAAGUUCCAGCUUGUGUGAAGGGGGUGAGGGCCUGGAGUUUCCUGGUGAGGAGGGCUUCAUCCUAGCGACCGGCGUGAGAGGGUGAGGAAAGGUUAGGACAGAUGGAAAAAGGUAUUUAGGGACCUUAAAACCUGGGGCUUCGAAGGAUGCAGGAAAAUGAGGAAUUCUGGGCCUCCUAUGGAGCAAACACAGGGCUGGUUUUGUGGGUGUGGGAGUUAUGCACCGGGAUGUCUCCAGCGCAGGGCUGGGGAUGUGCACAGCUGGGGUUCAGGGGGAGAGGGUUUCAGAGCAGGCUCCUCUCCCUUGCACUCUGUGUUUGAGGGAGGAGGAUGGGGUCUGAGUUUCUGGGCCUCUGGAGAAUAAAACUGAAAGUCCUACC